GGGUUGUGAGGUUAAGCGACUAAGCGUACACGGUGGAUGCCCUGGCAGUCAGAGGCGAUGAAGGGCGUGCUAAUCUGCGAUAAGCGUCGGUAAGGUGAUAUGAACCGUUAUAACCGGCGAUACCCGAAUGGGGAAACCCAGUGUGAUUCGUCACACUAUCAUUAACUGAAUCCAUAGGUUAAUGAGGCGAACCGGGGGAACUGAAACAUCUAAGUACCCCGAGGAAAAGAAAUCAACCGAGAUUCCCCCAGUAGCGGCGAGCGAACGGGGAGGAGCCCAGAGCCUGAAUCAGCAUGUGUGUUAGUGGAAGCGUCUGGAAAGGCGCGCGAUACAGGGUGACAGCCCCGUACACAAAAGCGCAUAUGCUGUGAGCUCGAUGAGUAGGGCGGGACACGUGGUAUCCUGUCUGAAUAUGGGGGGACCAUCCUCCAAGGCUAAAUACUCCUGACUGACCGAUAGUGAACCAGUACCGUGAGGGAAAGGCGAAAAGAACCCCGGCGAGGGGAGUGAAAAAGAACCUGAAACCGUGUACGUACAAGCAGUGGGAGCACAGGUUUACCUGUGUGACUGCGUACCUUUUGUAUAAUGGGUCAGCGACUUAUAUUCUGUAGCAAGGUUAACCG
rnacentral:rRNA from 1 species